rnacentral:rRNA from 1 species
AUUGAACGCUGGCGGCAUGCCUUACACAUGCGAGUCGAACGGCAGCGCGGACUUCGGUCUGGCGGCGAGUGGCGAACGGGUGAGUAAUACAUCGGAACGUACCCUGUUGUGGGGGAUAACUAGUCGAAAGAUUAGCUAAUACCGCAUACGACCUGAGGGUGAAAGUGGGGGACCGGAAACGGCCUCAUGCAGCAGGAGCGGCCGAUGUCUGAUUAGCUAGUUGGUGGGGUAAAGGCCCACCAAGGCGACGAUCAGUAGCUGGUCUGAGAGGACGAUCAGCCACACUGGGACUGAGACACGGCCCAGACUCCUACGGGAGGCAGCAGUGGGGAAUUUUGGACAAUGGGGGCAACCCUGAUCCAGCAAUGCCGCGUGUGUGAAGAAGGCCUUCGGGUUGUAAAGCACUUUUGUCCGGAAAGAAAUCGCGCUGGUUAAUACCUGGCGUGGAUGACGGUACCGGAAGAAUAAGCACCGGCUAACUACGUG